rnacentral:tRNA from 3 species
GCCGCCGUAGCUUAGCUGGUGGAGCGCUCGGCUGUUAACCGAGUGGUCGUCGGUUCGAAUCCGACCGGCGGCG